rnacentral:rRNA from 1 species
UACGGGGGGGGCAAGCGUUGUUCGGAAUUACUGGGCGUAAAGGGCGCGUAGGCGGCCUUCUAAGUCAGACGUGAAAUCCCUCGGCUCAACCGAGGAACUGCGUCUGAUACUGGAAGGCUUGAAUCCGGGAGAGGGAUGUGGAAUUCCAGGUGUAGCGGUGAAAUGCGUAGAUAUCUGGAGGAACACCGGUGGCGAAGGCGGCAUCCUGGACCGGUAUUGACGCUGAGGCGGCGAAAAGCUAGGGGGAGCAAACGGGG